AGUGACAGAAUAACUGUACUGACCUCUGUGAACGUUAUUGAAAGGAGAGCAGAAAGUACAAUCCUUUACUGAAGUUCACAAAACAGUGCUGCAAGCCAGAUUCAAUCUGAAAAGAUUAAUUUCCAGGCUAUAAUCUGAGGUAAACUGAACUACAUUUCAAAUCGACUCCAUCUGCUAAACAGAAGCAUAGAAAUAAUAGAACAAGCUCAGCUGGAAGGGGUGUGUGGAGGUGAUACAAUGCAGCCCCCCACCAAGAAGGGCCGGCCUCAAGGCUUGAGCAGGGUGCUGAAGGCCCAGCUGGGUCUUGGGAAUGUCCUGAGGUGAAGAUUCCACCACCUCCAUGGGCAGCUGUGCCAGUGCUUGCCCACUCCUGCAGGAAAACGUUCAGUAAAACCUACUUCAGUAGAAUCAGUUGGCCAUUUACAUGGCUGUACUGAAAUGCUGCAUUUUCAUAAACGCUAUGCUUGUUGGAGACCGUUAAAAAAAACAAACCCAGUACAUGGGAGAACAGAGAGAUCUCAGUAGGAAAUGAGCGACUGCCAACAAAUUACCAUUGAUUUACAGGGAGAAUGUACAGAGACUUAUGUGAAUGAUACCUUUUUGUUAGGCCAAUUGCAAAAAUUGCCACUGGAAGGGCCUUACUGAGCAAAAUUGAACAGCAGAUGUUGAUCAUAAAAAGAAGUAAAAAGUCUCAAAGAGCCAGUGAGGACAACACUUGCAGUUAUGACUGGUAGCACCAAGCAAAGCUGUCGACUAUUGUUUCUGUGCAAGGGCUGGGGACAGGAUUUUAACAAAUGCAUCAUGAUUACUGGAAAGCCACUGUGUUUGCCUGCAGAGCUCGAAAGUCAAAGAUAGAAAGAUUGACUCUAGCUCUAGAGCUGCUCACUUCCCAGCAGCGAUAAAUUGCCCUUAUGGAUAAUACCAUGUGAGAGAUGGCCCAGAAAUGACCUGUCAGAAGAAAACAAAGCAUAUGCAGCCCAUGACGUCUGCUCCACAAGUUCUCAUUACAUAAAACAUUAUUCUGAGGGGGGUGACCUUGUUCAACAAGCUGUUCGGAAACACUGGCUCCCAGCACCACUUCAGGAUCUAGGCCAGGCCUUCAUGAGCCCACAGUGUUGGAGAAGCAGGGUAGCAUGGGACUGAUGGGAGCACCGUGCCCAAGAGAUGCUUUCUCAGAACCAUUGCACACACCAAAUGAAAACACAUUCAUUCCUGGCUUAGGGGAAGAGCUUGUCUGGUCUGACUGUCAACAUCCUCUUAAAAAGCAUCUGCUCAUUCUUAUGUGGACAUCUCCAUUCACUAACUGCUUGGUGCUUCCAAGCAAGAAAGUGAAAUUGGUUUUGAGUGAAUGUGCUGUCCCUGGGUGGGAGGUGGGCGGGCAAAGGAGACAUCAGGAAAGCUGGAGAAGCUUUCUGAGGGGAACAGAAAUACUGCUACCUGUUGGAAUAAUAAGCAACUGCAGAUAUUGCAGAUGGCUACUUAUGAGAGAGACGUUAGAGGGAUUAUGAAGAUCAAAUAUCCAAUGUUAAAAGGAAGAGAUGUAACUGAGGCACCCUGUGUAUGCAUAACACUCAAACAAUGGCUUUCCAGGAGUGUACAUUUAGUCACUGAUGCGCUUACUGGUUUUAUUCCAGCUCCUGAGGGAAACGUGUCCACAAAAGAGCAGGUCCCUUGAGUGCUUAAAGGAGCAGUUAAGGACAUCGCUAGCAAGCUAUGUGAUUUCCAAGUGGCAACUUUCUCUGCAGACAGUGUUGAAGGCAUGCCAGUUCUGGGCUUGUGUGUAAUAAUGAAGUCUUAGGAGGACAGGAAGCACCAGAGCAAUCUGAUGAACAAAAAGGCAG